UACGGAGGGGGCUAGCGUUGUUCGGAAUUACUGGGCGUAAAGCGUGCGCAGGCGGUUUUGUAAGCCAGAUGUGAAAGCCCCGGGCUUAACCUGGGAAUGGCAUUUGGGACUGCAAGGCUGGAGUUUGGCAGAGGAGACUGGAAUUCCUGGUGUAGCAGUGAAAUGCGUAGAUAUCAGGAGGAAUACCGAUGGCGAAGGCAGGUCUCUGGGCUGAUAACUGACGCU
rnacentral:rRNA from 1 species